UUGAACGCUGGCGGCAGGCCUAACACAUGCCAGUCGAGCGGAUGAAGGGAGCUUGCUCCUGGAUUCAGCGGCGGACGGGUGAGUAAUGCCUAGGAAUCUGCCUGGUAGUGGGGGAUAGCGUCCGGAAACGGGCGCUAAUACCGCAUACGUCCUGAGGGAGAAAGUGGGGGAUCUUCGGACCUCACGCUAUCAGAUGAGCCUAGGUCGGAUUAGCUAGUUGGUGGGGUAAAGGCCUACCAAGGCGACGAUCCGUAACUGGUCUGAGAGGAUGAACAGUCACACUGGAACUGAGACACGGUCCAGACUCCUACGGGAGGCAGCAGUGGGGAAUAUUGGACAAUGGGCGAAAGCCUGAUCCAGCCAUGCCGCGUGUGUGAAGAAGGUCUUCGGAUUGUAAAGCACUUUAAGUUGGGAGGAAGGGCAGUAAGUUAAUACCUUGCUGUUUUGACGUUACCAACAGAAUAAGCACCGGCUAACUUCGUG
rnacentral:rRNA from 1 species